rnacentral:misc_RNA from 1 species
AUAAACCCUAACGCUCUGCUGUUUCAUGAGAACACACACAGAGGACAGAGACAAUGUAGAACUCUUAUUUAUUAUGGUAAGAUGCGUGAGUUAAGUUGGCAAGAAGAGAUAGCAGUUGCCCUGCACUUUUGCUAGAUGCACAAUCAUUCCUUAACAAGGGAAUCAUCCCUAGGUGCUUGCUCAGCCACUGGAAUUCUUCUUUGAAAGGCCUUUAAUUAGUGUGGGAAACUUCCUGUUAAUUUUUUUAUUAUUAAGGUCAAAGGAUUCCUUAAAAAAACAAAAUAUAUAGGUCAAAGGAUCUAUUGGGUUCAUUUGUACCUGGGUGUCGGAAUCAGGAUGCUGGAUUGAUAAAUAUUUACAAGGAAGAAUGAUAAUUGUAGAAUGAGGAUUUGGAUUUGAGCAAUAGAACAGUCUUCACAGGCAACAGAUCCAUUUAAAUUUUUUAUUUCCACUGAAAUUCUUCUGCAAUGGAUGAGGCAAGAUUAUUUAUUUAAAA